UACGAAGGGUGCAAGCGUUACUCGGAAUUACUGGGCGUAAAGCGUGCGUAGGCGGUUUGUUAAGUCUGUCGUGAAAGCCCUGGGCUCAACCUGGGAAUUGCGAUGGAUACUGGCAGCUAGAGUACGGUAGAGGAUGGUGGAAUUCCCGGUGUAGCGGUGAAAUGCGUAGAGAUCGGGAGGAACACCCGUGGCGAAGGCGGCCAUCUGGACCAGUACUGACGCUGAGGCACGAAAGCGUGGGGAGCAAACAGG
rnacentral:rRNA from 1 species